rnacentral:rRNA from 1 species
UCGGGAAUAUUGCACAAUGGAGGAAACUCUGAUGCAGUGACGCCGCGUAUAGGAAGAAGGUCUUUGGAUUGUAAACUAUUGUCGACAGGGAAGAAAAGAAUGACAGUACCUGUGGAGGAAGCCCCGGCAAACUACGUGCCAGCAGCCGCGGUAAUACGUAUGGUGCAAGCGUUAUCCGGAUUUACUGGGUGUAAAGGGAGCGCAGACGGCAUGGCAAGCCAGAUGUGAAAGGUGGGGGCUCAACCCCCAAGCUGCAUUUGGAACUGUCAAGCUAGAGUAUCGGAGAGGUAAGUGGAAUUCCUAGUGUAGCGGUGAAAUGCGUAGAUAUUAGGAGGAACACCAGUGGCGAAGGCGGCUUACUGGACGAUAACUGACGUUGAGGCUCGAAAGCGUGGGGAGCAAACAGGAUUAGAUACCCUGGUAGU